GUGGGGAAUCUUCCGCAAUGGACGAAAGUCUGACGGAGCAACGCCGCGUGAGUGAUGAAGGUCUUCGGAUUGUAAAGCUCUGUUAAUCGGGACGAAAGAGCCUAGUGUGAAUAAUGCUAGGAAGUGACGGUACCGGAAUAGAAAGCCACGGCUAACUACGUGCCAGCAGCCGCGGUAAUACGUAGGUGGCAAGCGUUGUCCGGAAUUAUUGGGCGUAAAGCGCGCGCAGGCGUAUCUGCCAGUCUGUCUUAAAAGUUCGGGGCUUAACCCCGUGAUGGGAUGGAAACUACAGAUCUAGAGUAUCGGAAAGGAAAGUGGAAUUCCUAGUGUAGCGGUGAAAUGCGUAGAUAUUAGGAAGAACACCAGUGGCGAAGGCGACUUUCUGGACGAAAACUGACGCUGAGGCGCGAAAGCCAGGGGAGCGAACGGGAUUAAAUACCCCGGUAGUCC
rnacentral:rRNA from 1 species